UACGAAGGGGGCUAGCGUUGCUCGGAAUCACUGGGCGUAAAGCGCACGUAGGCGGAUUGCUAAGUCAGGGGUGAAAUCCUGGAGCUCAACUCCAGAACUGCCUUUGAUACUGGCGACCUUGAGUCCGGGAGAGGUGAGUGGAACUGCGAGUGUAGAGGUGAAAAUUCGUAGAUAUUCGCAAGAACACCAGUGGCGAAGGCGGACUCACUGGCCCGGUACUGGACG
rnacentral:rRNA from 1 species